GCGUGGGGCGUGCCCAGACAACACCGCUUCUUUUCUGUUCAAAGAUCCACACGAUACAAAUGAAGUCCCAAACUUUUCAAGUUGCUUUUGUUCACGGGAGCAGCAACAGGGAAGCUUCUUGCAGCAGAAGUGACUUAAGAAAGACCAGCCUUCUGUACGGGUUUUAUCAAAUGCAGCAAUUAUUCCACUCCCUCCGAUCACAAGGCAUCGAUGGCUCCUCCAUGGCAGUGGCCAAAGUUGCUUCAGUCUCUGGUUUCAGGUGCCUCGGGUGGAGGUGCACCGCAAACGUUUGCGUGCGGGUCCUGGGAGGGGGCGGUCACCGGGCCGGCUGCGGACAUCUGUGGAGAAGAUGGCAGCGAGCGCCAGGACUGCAGGGCGCCCGGGCGAAGGCCAGCUCGCGGCGGAGGUCAGCCCGCGCGCACGGCCCCGGCAGCGAGGCAGCGCCGCUGCGAACGGCUCGGCUCGCCCACGAGAAGGCCGGCUUCGGUCUGGCAACAGCGAUGCUCUGGGUGCUUUUGUCCAACGCACAGAACGGGAAACGCUCAGUGCCCAGGACUGCUCUAGACGGUUGAAGUGUUUGAAUUAAAUACCUUCUUCCACCCAUAAGCUUCCGGUCCUGUAAAACAUUUUGUUUACAAUACUUUAAAAUUCACUUUUGCUACAUCGAAUUUAUAACAAAAAAUGGGUGUUUGCCAAAGAUAAAAUUAUUUUUUCUCCA